rnacentral:rRNA from 1 species
AUUGAACGCUGGCGGCAGGCCUAACACAUGCAAGUCGAACGAGUGGCGGACGGGUGAGUAAUGUCUGGGAAACUGCCCGAUGGAGGGGGAUAACUACUGGAAACGGUAGCUAAUACCGCAUACCAUCGGAUGUGCCCAGAUGGGAUUAGCUAGUAGGUGGGGUAACGGCUCACCUAGGCGACGAUCCCUAGCUGGUCUGAGAGGAUGACCGGCCACACUGGAACUGAGACACGGUCCAGACUCGUACGGGAGGCAGCAGAGGGGAAUCUUGCACAAUGGGCGCAAGCCGGAUGCAGCCAUGCCGCGGGUAUUAGGAAGGCCUUCGGGUUGUAAAGUACGUUCAACGAGGAGGCGUUACCCGCAGAAGAAACGCCGGUGAACACCGUGCCAGCAGCCGCGGUAAUAC